rnacentral:rRNA from 1 species
GAUGAACGCUGGCGGCGUGCUUAACACAUGCAAGUCGAACGAAGAUGCCGGAGUGCUUGCACUUUGGCAGACUGAGUGGCGGACGGGUGAGUAACGCGUGGGUAACCUGCCUUAUACAGGGGGAUAACAGUUGGAAACGACUGCUAAUACCGCAUAAGCGCACGGUAUCGCAUGAUACAGUGUGAAAAACUCCGGUGGUAUAAGAUGGACCCGCGUCUGAUUAGCUUGUUGGUGAGGUAACGGCCCACCAAGGCGACGAUCAGUAGCCGGCCUGAGAGGGUGAACGGCCACAUUGGGACUGAGACACGGCCCAAAACUCCUACGGGAGGCAGCAGUGGGGAAUAUUGCACAAUGGGGGAAACCCUGAUGCAGCGACGCCGCGUGAGUGAUGAAGUAUUUCGGUAUGUAAAAGCUCUAUCAGCAGGGAAGAAAAAUGACGGUACCUGACUAAGAAGCCCCGGCUAACUACGUGCCAGCAG